UGACGUCACUUCCGCCGCGACGGGAGACCCGCGGCCGGAAGCGCCACUACGGGGGGGCGGCCGGGAGUGCCUGGGGACACACUGAAGUGACAGAUGGAGGUCCGUAGUGGAUGCUGGGGACUCCGUAAGGACCAUGGGGAUUAGCGGCUCCGCAGGAGACUGGGAACAACUAUAAAGAAAGCUUUAGACUACUGGUGUGCACUGGCUCCUCCCACUAAGACCCUCCUCCAGACUUCAGUUAGGAUACUGUGCCCGGAAGAGCUGACACAAUAAGGAAGGAUUUUGAAUCCCGGGAGAGGAAGAGCCUGUGCUAUCUCAAGAAAAGACAAUGCUUUGGUGCCUAGGCUCCUCCAGCUCCACCUAUACCGCAUGGUUUCCAGUGGACUCAGAGAAAAGGAUUUUACAGGAAAGAACAAAAAUCCCAUUAUGUUGUUGCAUUCUGCUUUAAUAUAUAAUUUAACUCCCAUUUUGAUAAAAAAAAAAAAGACAACAAAAUUUAUUUAUAAAGUAUUUAUUUUCUUUUAAGUUAAACAAUUUUCAAUGAUGCUUUGCAUUUAUAAAAUGAACAAGUACAGGCCCUGUACUGCAGACACCUUGGAAUUAUUGUAACCAAAUUAAGAGAGAACAGUUACCAAACUAUACCUUUGAAUAAAAAAAAAUAAUGUUAUUACAUCAGUAUUAUUUCCAUAAUAACAAUGAGAAUGCAAUACAAUAAAGAUCCUUUGUUACCUGCUCACAGCAGAA